rnacentral:rRNA from 1 species
UACGGGAGGCAGCAGUGGGGAAUAUUGCACAAUGGGCGCAAGCUUGAUGCAGCCAUGCCGCGUGUAUGAAGAAGGCCUUCGGGUUGUAAAGUACUUUCAGUCGUGAGGAAGGUGUUAAGGUUAAUAACCUUAGCAAUUGACGUUAGCGACAGAAGAAGCACCGGCUAACUCCGUGCCAGCAGCCGCGGUAAUACGGAGGGUGCGAGCGUUAAUCGGAAUUACUGGGCGUAAAGGGCACGCAGGCGGUUAAUUAAGUUGGAUGUGAAAUCCCCGGGCUUAACCUGGGAAUGGCAUUCAAGCUGGUUAGCUAGAGUCUUGUAGAGGGGGUAGAAUUCCAUGUGUAGCGGUGAAAUGCGUAGAGAUGUGGAGGAAUACCGGUGGCGAAGGCGGCCCCUGGGACAAAGGACUGACGCUCAUGUGCGAAAGCGUGGGGAGCGAAACAGGGAUUAGAUACC